GCCUCAUGGGUGAGACGAAAUAGUCUGACA
rnacentral:piRNA from 1 species